UACGUAGGUGGCGAGCGUUGUCCGGAUUUACUGGGCGUAAAGAGCGCGCAGGCGGUCGUUCAAGUCGCGUGUGAAAGCCCCCGGCUCAACUGGGGAGGGUCACGCGAUACUGAUCGACUCGAAGGCAGGAGAGGGUAGUGGAAUUCCCGGUGUAGUGGUGAAAUGCGCAGAUAUCGGGAGGAACACCAGUGGCGAAGGCGGCACUCUGGGCCGGAACUGACGCUGAGGAGCGAAAGCGUGGGUAGCAAACAGG
rnacentral:rRNA from 1 species